UACUGACAACAGUCGUCCACGCAAGAGCUUCCAUACACAUUACAAAUUGUAUUUACCUAAAAUCUCUUAUAACUCCAAAACAGUGAAAUAAUCCAAGAAUAAUUAAAGUAUGUCAAAUCAAUGGAAAAAGGGUUGUGAUAAAAAAAAAAACAAAUAAAAGAAAGACAUUAAAUAAAAAUCUUGAGUCUCGGAACAUAAAGAAAUUCUUUCCUCGUGCUAUAAAAAGAAGCACUUAAAGCUCUCCCUACAAAAUUCAACUUUCCAAUUGAAUUUCUAGGCGGCUUUCACAAAAGUGUAUUUAUGAAACCUUUACCAGAGGGAUGAACAGCUUCCCGAGUAAGGACAGUAGUAGCAAUGCCAAGUAGCUGUAACAUCAGUAGCAGUGACUGGGUUAGAUGGGUUAGUCGAAGCCUGGAUGGCCGACUUGGUCGACUGGUUAAGAAGGUGUGCGACGUCGGCGAAGACACACGGCAGUACCGCACUUACAGUUCUACACGAUUUUAAUCAAUAGUCUCGUUAGAGGACCUUUCACCGUACGAACCCAGUACGUGGUAUCGAUAUGCUACAUGUCAGUGCAUUCGUAUAUAUACAUAUGUUAACAAUAAGGCUAGCUUUUCUGUGUACACCGCGUGACCGGGCUAUACAGCUCUUGCCGGAUGAAGGAAAAUAUCUGUGGAUAAAAAUACUGUGAGAUGAGAGAUACGUGGGUGGUGUUGGGGGAGACCAGGGAGCACAGAGAAAUAAUGAAAAUAAAGAUAAAGAGUAGGUGUAGUCCGACGCCAGUGGAGAUACAGAAAUAAAAAUGAAACCAGGAGCAACUCCCUUUUUCUUGGACUGCAAGACGUAACACAGAGAAAUCCAAUAGUUUCUUUGGUUACUGUCCGCCAGUUGCAGCUGCAAGACGACACAUUCAAAGAAUAGGGAUACGCUAAUUGGAUACUAUGUUUUUUCUUUGAAUUUACCUGAGGCUGUUAUUAUCAUAGCUAAUUGAUAGUAUCGAUUACGUAAUAUUAAUGAGAUGAAUAAAUUGAGGAAGAUUAUGUAAAAUUAUUAAAAUACUUAUGAAUGGAUAAGAAGAGAAAAUUUGUAUACAGAUUCAGUAUCCUGUAGGAUAUUUUGGUAUAUACGUGUAUAGGUAUGAUGCAUGUGCAUUCUUUGCUAUACACACGAGUCCAGGUACACCCUUCGCUUAACUAUUUCAAUUCGAGGAACAAUGCUCGAUAUUAGGGAAAUUCCAGGAAAACGAGAUACCAGCGCAGUCUGUUUAAACGCGGAGUGUGAGAUGUUACGUAUUACAAUAGAUUUUAUAAGGUGAUUACAGUUUGUGAAAAUUAUCCCAAUUAACUUUAGAACUCGCACGCUGCCAGUCUAACGGAAAGAAGAAGCUCCUGCAAGGACGAUUUACUGGGAUAAUAUUGGCGAUGGUAUGCGGUACGGAUAUUCAAGGUAUAUUUGCAAUUCCCGGUAACGCAAUUGUAAUAACAACUAAAAUGGAUUUCGCGGUUACAUGAAAAUCGACUUAAUACCCUCGAAUGCUGGUUUAACUCGUUUCAGAAGUUUCCCGACUGUAAUUCCGGCCUGAUAAUAACUACGGCAAUGUUCUGGUGAUUCUGCGAAUCGAACAUGAUAAAUUACGACUGAUAACAAUAGUUGGAUAAUGACAAUAAUUUUAAACGAAACGUACAGCAUGUUCGAUGUAUAAAAAAAAAAGUUACAAUUUUUCGGUAUGUGUCAAAUAACCCUGGACCAGAAUGGCAUAGGUCCAGUUCCUACGUCAACAGCUGGGGGGUCGUAAUUGCUAGCAGAGAUUGAAGUAAGCCGAGAUGCUGUAAACUUUAAUUACUCCGACAAGCCGUAGAGCAUUGCAAGGGGGUUACAGAUGGCGCUGUAGUAGUGGUAGCAGUGCUACCAAUAGCUCUGCUCGGUGCUACUGCUGCCACCAGCAGUAAUGGAUACUGGAGCACAAGAAAAGGCAGACUACCCUUUGUCCAUUUGUCAAAAACUUGUCGGCCAUUAAGUUCAACUUUACAUUUUUUUUUUUUCAUUUCUCUCUCUCUCUCUCUCUCUCUCUCUCUCUGUCUCCAUCCCUUAACUCGAACCUAGUCCAGAAAGUACUCAAGAUCACCAAGAAAUCCAUUCGGACCCAAGCAAAUCAGGGCGUUUGAAUUUUUAAUAAAACACCAAAGUUUUACACUCGUGCAAGAAAAAUAUAAAAGAGAACAGAGGACAAUUGUUUCUCAAGCAUAGAAAAGUGCAUUGAGUAAGAGUAACAUCUAUCUUACUAAUUAA